GGCGUACGGGUGAGUAACACGUGGAUCAUCUACCUUUUAGUGGGGAAUACCUCUGGGAAACUGGAGACAAUACCGCAUAAGCUCGAAAGAGGAAAGCAGCAAUGCGCUGAAAGAGGAGUCCGCGGCAGAUUAGCUAGAUGGUGAGGUAAUGGCUCACCAUGGCGAAGAUCUGUAGCCGGCCUGAGAGGGCUCACGGCCACACUGGCACUGAAACACGGGCCAGACUCCUACGGGAGGCAGCAGUGGGGAAUCUUGCACAAUGGGGGAAACCCUGAUGCAGCGACGCCGCGUGAGUGAUGAAGCCCUUCGGGGUGUAAAGCUCUUUCGACAGGAACGAUAAUGACGGUACCUGAAGAAGAAGCUGCGGCUAACUACGUGCCAGCAGCCGCGGUAAUACGUAGGCAGCAAGCGUUGUUCGGAAUUACUGGGCGUAAAGAGUGUGUAGGCGGUGCUCUAAGAUUGGUGUGAAAUCUCCCGGCUUAACCGGGAGGGUGCAUCGAAGACUGGGGUGCUCGAGGGUGGGAGAGGCAAGCGGAAUUCCUGGUGUAGCGGUGAAAUGCGUAGAUAUCAGGAGGAACACCUGUGGCGUAGACAGCUUGCUGGACCAUUUCUGACGCUGAGACACGAAAGCGUGGGUAGCAAACAGGAUUAGAUACCCUGGUAGUCCACGCCCUAAACGAUGCAUACUUGGUGUGGGCCAUUUAUUUGGUCUGUGCCGGAGCUAACGCGUUAAGUAUGCCGCCUGGGGAGUACGGUCGCAAGGCUGAAACUCAAAGGAAUUGACGGGGGCCCGCACAAGCGGUGGAGCAUGUGGUUCAAUUCGACGCAACGCGAAGAACCUUACCUGGGCUCGAACGGCUUAAGACAA
rnacentral:rRNA from 1 species